rnacentral:lncRNA from 1 species
UCGGGGAAGGUUAUUUUAAUCCUUUCAUAAGUAAAAAAUCAAUAAUGUUGUGCCAAUAUCAAUUCCCACAAACAUAAUAACUAUUUUUUUCUCACACUUUUUAACCUCUCGGCAUUGCCACUUGUGUCAUAUAUCAUUGGUAAAUUAUGAUUUGUCGGUUAACCUAAUUCACUUUCAAGUUUAACCAUUGAAUAUUUCCCUUCAAGUGGAUUGAUCCUUUUCUUUUGAAGAAAAGCAACCCAAAGUGGUUCUUACAACAAUGGCAUGGACAGAUUCAUGAUGCAUUUGUAGAAUCUAUGCAUAAGAUGUGACAACAGCAUGCCUGUCCCGUGGUUUUCUUUUUCUUUCUUCGUGACUAAAGAACCUUGGAGGUAACCUUUCCAUGGUGGCUCGGAUCGUAAAGUGGACGAGGGUAACGAGGCAUGCUCGUUGUGUAGUUUUCAAUUUGAUUUUUUCUACUUUUUAAUAUUGAUGUUCAUGAACAGCAGGAUAUAAGUUCUGUUCUGUAAGUUUUGAGGGUAACGAG